rnacentral:rRNA from 1 species
UACGGUAGGGUGCAAGCGUUGUCCGGAAUUAUUUGGGCGUAAAAGAGCUCGUAGGCGGUUUGUCGCGUCUGCUGUGAAAACUCGGGGCUUAACUCCGGGCCUGCAGUGGGUACGGGCAGACUAGAGUGCGGUAGGGGAGACUGGAAUUCCUGGUGUAGCGGUGAAAUGCGCAGAUAUCAGGAGGAACACCGGUGGCGAAGGCGGGUCUCUGGGCCGUAACUGACGCUGAGGCACGAAAGCGUGGGGAGCAAACAGG